UUGGAAAAAAGUCACCGUGAUACCCCCAAUCCUCUCUCCCACAUCUCCGCCAAGAAUUUUGGUGCCAAUAAAGAGAACAAAUAUUUACUGGCACCCACGGUGGAGCAAGGCGGAUCUUUCCUCAUUUAACCAACAAACUUUUGUAGUGGGCGUUGCUGUUCCCAUUUUACAACUAAAGGAGCUGGGACUCAAAAGGGAUAACUUAGUUGCCAGCGAGGGGCGGGGUUAAAUGCUCCCUGGGCGGUACCUGCCCAUCCUGCAGCACACCUGCAGUCGCGCUUGCCACGCCGCAGAGGCCACGUGGAACACACCUUGCAAAUGCUCACGGAGAGGAUGCUUCUUGCUCCUGAUGGGAACUGCCUUCUCAGCCCCUGAGGCGUUUCGGGGGGCGGGGGCAUCUACGCUUUGCUCCCGGAGAGCUGUUUGGACUCAGCUUCCACCAGUUAUCGGGAUUCUCCCAGCAGGUCUGCGGGUGCCCACGUUGCUGCAUUUCUAAUGAGCCCCAGGUGAAACGAUGCUGCUGCCCUCAGGCCACAUCUCGAGGAGCAGUCUCAGGUAUGACGGUUUUGAACACAGAAUAUUUCAGGAACCACAAAUGGACCUGCUGAGGAUGGAAUCUUGGCCCCAUGACCUCAUUCCCAUCUCGCUGCUGGUUGCCGUUGUUGUUUUUUAAAAACCUCCUUUCCUCUGUUCUCAAGUUUCCUGCCUCCCAAACACAUGUCAACAUCAGGAGUGACACAGCCGUGCAGCUGGGAAGCCCGUGAAGCUGAUGACUCAGGAUGACGGAAAUAAACACACUUUGUAGCACCGGCGCCCGCAGUCACAGGCUGCUGUCACCCUCUCCACCCCAUCCUGGACCUUCUUCCUUUUUUCCUUCUCCAGGAUCCUUUCCUGUUGUCUUGUGCAGCCCGAUGUAUCCCUCACUCCGUUUUCUGCCUGUAUUAUUGAACAUCCCCUGUCUGGGAGAAACUUUCCAACAGUUGCCUUCUUCAAAAAGAACCAGAGCAGGUAUACAAGGAAUGGAAUAUACAGACAGGUCUGGGGACCCUGACCUGGACACAGGAUCUGGUCACCGAAGCAUUACCUGGGAAGUCUCCAGCUUGGCUGUCCUUCCUCUCCAGGGGGAGGUUGGUAAUACGUGGAUGUCCUGUCACUCUUCUAGGCUCUUCUUCUGAGAUCCAGAGAGCACAUGGAGCCCCUCCCACUCCAACAAGCAGCUUGAGCCCCCUGAGCCCCCGCAUGCGGGUGGCUGCGGAGAGGCUGAGCCCCGGGGGUUGUGUGUUCUGUCUGCAACACACCAUUUGGGUUGAUUCUGGGAAAAGACGUAAACAAAUCUCCCAAAGAAAAAAGAGUUGCAGCUGCACUAUCUUACCUACCGAGAAGCACACCAGCUGGAUCUUGCCUCUGCGCCUGUGUCACUGUUCCCCGCUUCCACUUCUCUGGCUUGGGAGCUCCAGUGGGGAGUGCGUUGGGCGAUAAGGUCAGAGGAGCCCAGGUCUGGUGCAGUGCCCUUCCUGACAGCCACGUGACCUUGGGCUAAUCACUUUUGUCUUUGUGGAUUAAAAAUAAUGGGGUAGGGAUACUAGUUCUGCAAUCAAUUAUUCCCUAAAUGGUAUCAAAGAAUUAUUUAUAAUUUUGUUGGGUGUGAUCAUGACAUCGUGAAAAUAAUAAUGGUAUCCGGGAAUUGCUUCAGAAUACUCUAAUACAAAAGAAAAAGAGGGGAGGUAGAGACAAAUGAAACAGGGUUGGCAAAGUGUUGAUAAGGGUUGAAGGAGCUUUCUGGGGGGGCAAUAUCGUCUACUCUCUACUUUUGUGUUUGAAGUUUUCCAUAAUCAAAAAUGAAAAGAGUCAACCAUUUCACAUUCUAGUAGCACCAACAAGAUGGUGGACAGUAAUACCCUUUGGAAACAGAGUCUUGCUAUAGAAGUGCUUGUCUUCACACGGGUGCUCUAACUGAAUAACUGUGUGAGGGUGCCUCUCUCUCAUUGGUUGAAUUUGGCUGUAAGAACAGUUGCAUGUCCAGGCAGUAAACCCAUUCUCACUGCCCCUGUCACCAGCUCUCCAAGUAAAGGAAAGAUCAGGAACCUCUUGGAGGGCAGAAAGUAGACUUGUGGUCCAUCCCAAGCCGGUCUCAGUGGCUUCUCUCUCUUUUUCAUGUGUGGUGUGCUCUCCACCCCAAGUUCAUGGCUGCCUGUCAUUUCCUCUUAGAUCUUGUGCCUCCUUUCUCUCGGGGAGACUUUGCAGUUUCCUCCUCCCCUGGAUUCUCCUUGCUCUGGUCCUCGGAUUCAAGAGAGGCAGAGCAGAUGGACGAGGAGGAUACUUGGACACAGAGAGUUGAGUCAGGCCAAUGGCAGGGGUCAAGGUCAGAUCACCUGCACCUUCUGCCCGGGCAGAGGUCCCCGGGCUGCCAUCAGGCAAUGCAGGCUGGUCAGUGUCACUGGUUCUGAGCUCUAGGACAGGACCAUUCUGGGUGUUGUUUCUACAGAAGAUGACAAAGACAGAUCCCUUGUCCCAAGGAACGCAUGUCUGGUGGUGGAGAAAGGCAGAUAAACAGAUGGUUACGGAAUCACAUUCCAGGGUUAGGCAUAUGUAGAGAGGAUGACUAGGGUCUUAGACAAGAUGCUCUAAUGUAGCCUCUGGGUGUUUAGAUGGUGGGCGAGGUGAGAAGCCAUGUAGUGAUCAGCUUCCCAGAAAUGCUGACACCAGAACUCAGUGUUGAAAGAGAAGCAGCUGGUGAGUAGAAGGAAUUCCACAGCAGAUGUGAGGGGCGCCUCAACAGACAGACACACGUCUUCUUCCGACCUUUCUGUGGCCCUCCUCUGGGAAGAAUUCUGCAACCAAACCCCAAAUCCCCGCGUCAGACAGCAAGAGCACUAACUCACGUGCUUCCUCUACAUGAACCUUUUAACAAGGAGGUUGUUAACAAGUGAUAGGUGAUUGUAGAACCACAAGAGGGUCUGGGUAGGUUUACAGAAAGGAGAACGAAGGAUGUUUUUCCAUGCCGGUCAGGAAAGAAGUAGAUGGCCCUUUGUCCGUACCAUCCAUCCAGGAUGAAGGAGAUUUUCAAACAUUGUAGGUUCUUUGUGUUACCCUCUUCCACACACAGGAAAUCCUGUUUGUGUUCUGGGUCCAGUUUAAUGCCCAUCACUCCCAUUUCCUGUGUUUAUCUUGGAUGAUUGAGACUUGUUGUAAUUAUCCUUCUUUUAAUGUAGAGCCUAUUAUCUUAUCCACAUUAGUAUUGUUGGUUCAUUAUUGAUAAGCUUGAUAAAAGACAAAUAGAACAGAAUCAUUAAAAAUAUUAACUUACUACCAAAGGCUGGCCCUUCUCUGGAGAGCUGUAAGCAUUUUGAGCUUGCUUUUGAUCAGUGUGCUUGCAUGUAGAUAUCUUUACUUCCUGUUCCCGAGAGGUCUGUCCUUGAAUUCCCUUUCCUUCUAUCUGCGCCCAACCAGGUGGUCUCAUCUACUCUCCCGCCUGCAUCUCUGUCAGUGUCUCCCAGUGAUAGGUCCUUAGCUUUUCCCCUCUUUCCUGAGUUCCAGACCUAUCUGUCCAACCUGUACCGGACAUCUCUGCUCGAAUGUUCCAUGGGCGCCCCAGACUUGUAUGUGCCACCUCGAACUUGCUCCAUGUCUUAUGCUGUCCAGUACCAGGCACUCAGCCCCCGUGGGAGACACCUGGGAGCCAUGCUGGGCCGCCCCCUGUAGGUUGAUCCCCUCUCCACCCCCUUCCAAUCCCUCUCCAGGGCUGUCCUCACACUUCAGAUGGGGCGACUUCCCCUUGGGCCAUUGGCAUCUCUUACUUCACUUCCUGCCACUCUUCUCUCGCCUCCUGAAUUCAUCACUGCCACUGCUUCCAAGCAAUUCCUUAAAAACCUCUAUCACUUCUCUGCUUUAAAUAAACCCAUUGGCUUUCCGCUGCUUCAGGAUAAGUCCAAAUUCUUUACCCAGAUGCAAGGCCUUUCACACUCAGGCCCCAGUCCAUCCUUCCAUCCUCACCCUGAACUCUCCAUCAUCAGACCAGCAGCUCUGGUCUUCCUGACCCUCCGCCAUUCACUCCCUUAUUGAUUCCUCUCCCCGAAUCCUCUUAGUCUUCUUAUUUUUGUGUGUUAUAAGAAGAAAAAAAUUACACUAGGCAAUUCCCGGGACUCCUGCCUGUUUCAUUCUUUCAUUUAUUCCUAAGUUCAACAAACGUUUACUGAGCAUCUACUGUAUGGCAGGCAUAGAUCUAGGCUGCAGGGAUACAGCAGUUACCAGGAUAGGAAACCCCUGCCCCGUGGAGCUUACAUGCUAGUGGGGGAGAGACAAAAACAAGCACAAAGAAAAACCAGGAAUGUGUUGCACUGUGGUGAGCACCGCAUAGACAAAUAAAGCAGAGGAGACAGGUGGAGUGAAGGAGGUGAAGGAGUUUUGAUUGUUUCUCCCCUUUCCACAGUGUGGGCACAGGUGGGAUUUUCCGGUCUGUAUUAGUUUCCUAGGGCUGUCGUAACAAAGUGCCACAAACUUGGUGGCUGAAAACAACAAAAAUUUAUUCUCUCCCAGUUCUGGAGGCUAGAAGUCCAAAAUUGAGAUGUCAGCAGAACGACAUUCCCGGCGAAGUCUCUAGAGGAGGAUCCUUCCCUACUACUUCCGGCUUCUGGUGGCCUCGCAUCCCUUGGCUUGUGGCAGCCUCCCUCCAGUCCCUGCUUUCCAUCUUCACACCACCUUAUUCUUACAAGGAUACCAGUCGUUAGACUUAGAGGCCGCCCUGAAGCCAAGAUUAUUGCCCCUGGGAAUUCUUAACUAAUGACAUCUGCAAAGACGCUGUUCUAACUUAGGUCCCAUUCUGAGGUUCCAGAUGGACAUGCUUUUAGGGGGACACAGUUCAAACCACUGUACUGUCUACGUAGUGAGUGGAGAUGGGCUUGCUCUUACCUCCACAAAGGAAAUGUCGAAUUUAAAAUGAAAUAAAGCAGGGGCUUCCCUGGUGGCACAGUGGUUAAGACUCUGUGCUCCCA